GCAGAAGUGGUGGAAUUGGUAGACACGUUGGACUUAAAAUCCAAUGGGCAGCAAUGCCCGUGCGGGUUCAAGUCCCGCCUUCUGUACCA
rnacentral:tRNA from 1 species